AUUGAACGCUGGCGGCAGGCCUAACACAUGCAAGUCGAGCGGAGUUGCGAACGGGUGAGUAACGCGUAGGAACCUACCUAUUAGAGGGGGAUAACUAUUGGAAACGAUAGCUAAUACCGCAUACUAGUAGAUGGAACUGCGUUGUAUUAGCUAGUAGGUAGGGUAAAGGCCUACCAAGGCGACGAUCCGUAACUGGUCUGAGAGGAUGAUCAGUCACACUGGAACUGAGACACGGUCCAGACUCCUACGGGAGGCAGCAGUGGGGAAUAUUGGACAAUGGGCGAAAGCCUGAUCCAGCCAUGCCGCGUGUGUGAAGAAGGUCUUCGGAUUGUAAAGCACUUUAAGUUGGGAGGCGUUACCAACAGAAUAAGCACCGGCUAACUUCGUGCCAGCCGCCGCGGUAAUUC
rnacentral:rRNA from 1 species